rnacentral:rRNA from 1 species
UACGUAGGGGGCAAGCGUUAUCCGGAAUCAUUGGGCGUAAAGCGCGUGUAGGCGGUUCCGUAAGUCCGCUCUGAAAGCCCAGGGCUCAACCCUGGGAGGCGGGUGGAUACUACGGAACUGGAGUACGGAAGAGGAGAUUGGAAUUCCUGGUGUAGCGGUGAAAUGCGCAGAGUAUCAGGAGGAACACCUGAGGUGAAGACGGGUUGCUGGGCUGACACGUGACGCUGGAUAGCGCGAAAGCCAGGGGAGCAAACGGG